rnacentral:rRNA from 1 species
GACGAACGCUGGCGGCGCGCUUAACACAUGCAAGUCGAGCGAGAACCGGGACUUCGGUCCCGGGGACAGCGGCGAACGGGUGAGUAACACGUGGGUAAUCUGCCCUCGAUUCUGGGAUAGCCCGGGGAAACCCGGACUAAUACCGGAUAGCCUUUCGAGCCUUCGGGCGCGAAAGAAAAGGUAGCUUCGGCCUCCGAUCGAGGAUGAGCCCGCGGUGGAUUAGCUUGUUGGCGGGGUAAUGGCCCACCAAGGCGACGAUCCAUAGCUGGUCUGAGAGGACGAUCAGCCACACUGGGACUGAGACACGGCCCAGACUCCUACGGGAGGCAGCAGUGGGGAAUCUUGCGCAAUGGGCGAAAGCCUGACGCAGCGACGCCGCGUGUGUGAAGAAGGCCUGGUGUAAG